UGGUGGAGUGAUUUGUCUGGUUAAUUCCGUUAACGAGCGAGACCUCGACCUGCUAAAUAGUUUGGCGUAUUCUUCGGGAUACGUACAUGACUUCUUAGAGGGACUAUCGGUGUGUAGCCGAUGGAAGUUCGAGGCAAUAACA
rnacentral:rRNA from 1 species